rnacentral:lncRNA from 10 species
GUUAUUUGACUGGAGUGAGGUCUCAUGUCUGCUUAUGCGGUGGCUCGCUGCUCAGAACAGGGAGGAAGAGGGUAAUCUGGAAGAGUUUCCUGACCUACUCUGCUGCUGUGAUUAAACAACCACCAGGAAAUUUUGAUGACACUGUUCUCCUGAGCUCCUCCCUUUCCUCGGGGAAGAAAAGCAUUGAAACUACAAAAAUAAAGUGUUAUUUGGCUGGAGUGAGGUCUCAUGUCUGCUUAUGCGGUGGCUCGCUGCUCAGAACAGGGAACCAUUGGAGAUACUCAUUACUCUUUGAAGGCUUACAGUGGAAUGAAUUCAAAUACGACUUAUUUGAGGAAUUGAAGUUGACUUUAUGGAGCUGAUAAGAAUCUUCUUGGAGAAAAAAAGACUGGGUAUAUUUUCAAUAUGCUUUCCUUUUAAGGUCCCUCACCUGUGGAAAGUAAAGAAUGUCACUUUCUGACAGGCUCAGGAACCUCAAGUUAUGUAGGGAUCUCAAGAAGAUGGGGGAAUUCACCCAGUUCAUACAGGUGAAAUUGCUGUUGCAAAGAUUAUGAAUAUGAGAGAAGUCCAGCAUGGCUGACUUCAUCUCGUGUCUGGCCUCAGGCUGGCUGCCCUUGCUCACUCUUGGGCAUAGGCCAAGCUAGCCAUGGGAGGAAUUUAGUUUAUAGUUUAACUUUGAAGCACGGAUGAUAAUAGUCUCUCCCUAAAAUGAACCCCUUCCUUGCUCAGGGACUGAAACUACCUUUGUAUGACAAAUGAAAGCCCACAAGAUUAAGAUUAUGAGAGGGGCCUGAAUUCUGCUAAAAUGCAGGUGUAGCUGACUGAUAACAAGUCAUUGUCCCACAGCUUGCCUUUCUAUAAUCUCUUGCUUCUCAGGAGUCACAUGGCCAGAGGUCCUGAGAUUUCCAGUCCUGUGACCCCCACCCAGAGAUGGACUUAGUGCAUGAGGACCAUUUUCCACACCCCUAUGAUUUCAUCCUCAAACAAUCAGCAGCAACCAUUCCCUAGCCCCCUGCCUUCCAAAUUAUCCAUAAAAAUCCUAGCCUCUGAGUUAUUA